GGUCUUGUGGUGUAAUGGUUAAACACUGCAUUUGGGCAAUCUAUUUGUAUUCCGAGUUCGAAUCUCGGCAAGACCG
rfam:Rhizopus oryzae RA 99-880 supercont3.18 genomic scaffold, whole genome shotgun sequence.